AAUCCCUUAACGAGGAUCAAUUGGAGGGCAAGUCUGGUGCCAGCAGCCGCGGUAAUUCCAGCUCCAAUAGCGUAUAUUAAAGUUGCUGCAGUUAAAAAGCUCGUAGUUGAAUUUCUGGUACGAUGUGCCUGGUCCACGGUCGCUAGGCCGCGCGUAUCGGAGUACGUCUGCCAUCCUUCUAGUUAACUGGCUAUACUUAACUGUGUGGUCAGCAACCUAGAUCUUUUACUUUGAAAAAAUUAGAGUGUUUAAAGCAGGCUCGCGCUGUGAAUACAUUAGCAUGGAAUAAUAAUUUAGGACUUUGCUUCUAUUUUAUUGGUUUCUAGGGGUAAAGUAAUGAUUGAUAGGGAUAGUUGGGGGUGCUAGUAUUCAUCGGCCAGAGGUGAAAUUCUUGGAUUCGAUGAAGACUAACUUAUGCGAAAGCAUUCACCAAGGAUGUCUUCUUUAAUCAAGAACGAAAGUUGGGGGAUCGAAGACGAUCAGAUACCGUCGUAGUCUCAACCAUAAACUAUACCGACUAGGGAUUAGUGGAAGUUGCUAUAUCGACUCCAUUAGCACCUUAUGAGAAAUCAGAAGUCUUUGGGUUCUGGGGGGAGUAUGGUCGCAAGGCUGAAACUUAAAGGAAUUGACGGAAGGGCACCACCAGGAGUGGAGCCUGCGGCUUAAUUUGACUCAACACGGGGAAACUUACCAGGUCCGGACAUAGUGAGGAUUGACAGAUUGAAGUUCUUUCUUGAUUCUAUGGGUGGUGGUGCAUGGCCGUUCUUAAUUUGUGGAGCGAUUUGUCUGGUUAAUUCCGAUAACGAACGAGACUCUGGCCUACUAACUAGACGUUAGAUCCCUUUGUGGGUCUAUCGCAGCUUCUUAGAGGGACGGGCGGCGUUUAGCCGCACGAGAUUGAGCAAUAACAGGUCUGUGAUGCCCUUAGAUGUUCUGGGCUGCACGCGCGCUACACUGAAGGAAUCAGCGUGUGUUCCCUACCCGAAAGGGUUGGGAAACCCGUUGAACCUCCUUCGUGAUGGGGAUUGGGGAUUGCAAUUAUUCCCCAUGAACGAGGAAUUCCCAGUAGGCGCGAGUCAUAAGCUUGCGUCGAUUACGUCCCUGCCCUUUGUACACACCGCCCGUCGCUACUACCGAUCGAGUGAUUUAGUGAGGCCUUCGGACUGGUCUUCAGUAUGGCUUUCGGGUCGUGUUGGAGUACCGGAAAGAUGACCAAACUUGAUCACUUAGAGGAAGUAAAAGUC
rnacentral:rRNA from 1 species